AUUGAACGCUGGCGGCAUGCUUUACACAUGCAAGUCGAACGGCAGCACGGGGGCAACCCUGGUGGCGAGUGGCGAACGGGUGAGUAAUAUAUCGGAACGUACCCGGAAAUGGGGGAUAACGUAGCGAAAGUUACGCUAAUACCGCAUAUGCCCUAAGGGGGAAAGCGGGGGAUUCGCAAGAACCUCGCGUUUUCGGAGCGGCCGAUAUCGGAUUAGCUAGUAGGUGAGGUAAAGGCUCACCUAGGCGACGAUCCGUAGCUGGUCUGAGAGGACGAUCAGCCACACUGGCACUGACACACGGGCCAGACUCCUACGGGAGGCAGCAGUGAGGAAUAUUGGGCAAUGGGCGAAAGCCUGACCCAGCAACGCCGCGUGAGGGAUGGAAGGCCUUCGGGUUGUAAACCGUCUUUUCUGGGAGAAGAGACAAGGACGGUAUCCAGGAUAAGUCUCGGCUAACUACGU
rnacentral:rRNA from 1 species